rnacentral:rRNA from 1 species
GAUAUCCUACGUGGGGCAGCAGUGGGGAAUAUUGCACAAUGGGGGAAACCCUGAUGCAGCAACGCCGCGUGAGUGAAGAAGUAUUUUGGUAUGUAAAGCUCUAUCAGCAGGGAAGAAGAAAGACGGUACCUGACCAAGAAGCCCCGGCUAACUACGUGCCAGCAGCCGCGGUAAUACGUAGGGGGCAAGCGUUAUCCGGAAUUACUGGGAGUAAAGGGAGCGUAGACGGUUAAGUAAGUCUGGAGGGAAAGGCCGGGGCCCAACCCCGGGACGGCUCU